rnacentral:snoRNA from 1 species
AAGUAUAUACUGUGUCAAAUGAACAAGUAUUAAAACACAUUGUGGUAUUUAUCAUGUGCUAAACAAACCUUUGAAGGUAAAUUAGCAGCAUGACUAAUUUAGCCAUUGCUGUCACUCACCUUCAGAAAUGC